rnacentral:rRNA from 1 species
CCCGGGGAUCCGAUUCCUACGGGAGGCAGCAGUGGGGAAUAUUGGACAAUGGGCGCAAGCCUGAUCCAGCCAUGCCGCGUGAGCGAUGAAGCCCUUCGGGGUGUAAAGCUCUUUCACCGGAGAAGAUAAUGACGGUAUCCGGAGAAGAAGCCCCGGCUAACUUCGUGCCAGCAGCCGCGGUAAUACGAAGGGGGCUAGCGUUGUUCGGAAUUACUGGGCGUAAAGCGCACGUAGGCGGAUAUUUAAGUCAGGGGUGGAAUCCCAGAGCUCAACUCUGGAACUGCCAUUGAUACUAUUGAUCUUGAAUACCGUGGAGGUCAGCGGAAUAUGUCAUGUAGCGGUGAAAUGCUUAGAUAUGACAUAGAACACCAAUUGCGAAGGCAGCUGGCUACGCGAAUAUUGACACUGAGGCACGAAAGCGUGGGGAUCAAACAGGAUUAGAUACCCUGGUAGUCCACGCCCUAAACUAUGGAUACUCGACAUCAGCGAUACACAGUUGGUGUCUGAGCGAAAGCAUUAAGUAUCCCACCUGGGAAGUACGAUCGCAAGAUUGAAACUCAAAGGAAUUGACGGGGGCCCGCACAAGCGGUGGAGCAUGUGGUUUAAUUCGAAGCAACUCGAAGAACCUUACCAGGGCUCGAACGGUGGCUUAUAUCCGCUGA